GGAUUGGUAGCUCAGAAGGUAGGGCGGUGGACUGAAAAUCCACGACAUUAGCGGAAGUUCGAUUCUUCCCCUUUCCA
rnacentral:tRNA from 1 species